rnacentral:rRNA from 1 species
AGUGAACGCUGGCGGUAGGCCUAACACAUGCAAGUCGAACGGCAGCACAGUAAGAGCUUGCUCUUACGGGUGGCGAGUGGCGGACGGGUGAGGAAUACAUCGGAAUCUACUUUUUCGUGGGGGAUAACGUAGGGAAACUUACGCUAAUACCGCAUACGACCUACGGGUGAAAGCAGGGGAUCUUCGGACCUUGCGCGAUUGAAUGAGCCGAUGUCGGAUUAGCUAGUUGGCGGGGUAAAGGCCCACCAAGGCGACGAUCCGUAGCUGGUCUGAGAGGAUGAUCGGCCACACUGGAACUGAGACACGGUCCAGACUCCUACGGGAGGCAGCAGUGGGGAAUAUUGGACAAUGGGCGAAAGCCUGACCCAGCAAUACCGCGUGGGUGAAGAAGGCCUUCGGGUUGUAAAGCCCUUUUGUUGGGAAAGAAAAGCAGCAGGUUAAUCCCCCGCUGUUCUGACGGUACCCAAAGAAUAAGCACCGGCUAACUUCGUG